GCAACCAGAUCAACACUCAUUUAAUUUCUCUUUUGUCCUUAUUGUUUUGGGGAAAAGGGGGAUAUUAUUUUUAUUAGCACAUUUCCUAUAAAGGAAAGAUAUAGAAAUAGAUUAACUAUAUUGGCCUGGUACUUUCACAUAUCAGACUCCAAAUAUUCAUUCUCUGUUCCUCUUUCCUACUCUCCUUUUCUUAGAAAUACAUUGGGGGGCGGGGAAUCCUCUUAGCAAUUGCUACUUGUAUUUGUAUUCAAUAAAUUAAUAAGGAGCUCUACAUACAGAAAUAAAAGCUCUAAAUAUACAUUUUUAUUAACAAAAACUAAGUUAAUUUAAAUAGAGUGCAUCAGUAAUGUUUCUCUGUAAGGAACCAUGCUUUUCUCAUUGUAUUUAUUACUAAGUGGUAUAAAGGCAAAGAAAAAUCUAACAUAAAGUUAAGUGAAUUACAAUAUAAUUUUCAGCAGUUUUAUUUGUAUAACUUAUUUAAAAUGAAAACGCCUGCAGUAUUCUCAGCAGUUUCGUUGGAUUUUUAAACUUAGGUUGACUAAUAUAAGUUGCAGCACCAAAAAUGCAAGCAAAGGCGCUUGUUUGUAAGUAAGAAAGAGAUCUUUCUUUAGGCAACUAAUGGUACAGGCUGAUCAGAAGUCCCAGGGCUCAGGCGUUAGAGUUCAGGAGUUCAAGAGCAGGGCAAGAACUGGAUGGAAGUGAUAAAAUCCCAAGAAGUUCCCAAGGCUUCCCCGCCAAGCUGUUAAAAAUGAGACAUGGUUGACUCCUGAGACUCACUCACCUUGCUGAAAUGUUGGAAUUGCAAAUGCAUGCUCUGCUGUGAAGGCAGCACCUGAGGCGAGGCAAGAAGGCUGCCCUCUCCUGUUCGCUUGCUGCCACCCCCUACUCAGCCUCCUCCCUUGGCUGAUCAAGGCCUUCCCCAGCCUCCACUGGGGCUCUCCGCUCCACAGGAAAGUUGUGGGAAGGGGAGAGGUGGCGUCCCAGAUCUGCCUUCUGAAAUGACUGGAAUCAGGGUGGAAAGGAGAUAUGCCCUCUCUACCAACCUAGGCCCCCACAAUUGAAGUGCCCUUCUGUCUCUUCCUCCUGCAACAGAGCCUGCCAGCCCAAGCCCAGCAGUGCUGUGGGGCUCAUGACAAUUGAACCCUGUCAACCAAUUACUUUUGAAGUAAACUACAGUGAUUUUGCUUUCUACUGGCAAUAAAAUUAUUAUGCAAAGGAAAGUAAUUCCACAUGUUAUUGCCUAUUGCUCCUCACACUGAUUUGGGCAAAUAUGACUGAAAUGUGAGCUAGGAAGUUGCCAGUUCAAAUCAUGCUUCAGCUAUGCACACACUCCUUAAGCAAGCCUUAAUCUCUCAGCCUCACCAUAUUCAUUGUGGAGAUAAUAACACUGCUCUAAUUUACAGGGGGAUGUAGGCAGCUAAGCUGCACUCAGCAAAGACCCAUUGAAAUAAAUCACUCUAAGUUAGACAUGCCCAUUAACUGCAGUGGCUCUGCUCUGAGUAGAAUGAGCAUAGGAUGCAUCAUAGGGAUUUUGUAAGGGGUGCUAAGAAUUGAUAUCAAAGAAUUUAACUUCUCUGUAGUGUGUUUAUUAUGAAUGCCUAUUAUCAUAAAGUAGUAUUCAAUUAAGUUUUACUAAAACUAGACCUACUGAAAUUAAUGGCCUAACUUAGCCAUGUUCAUUCAUUUUUGUGGGCCAACACUGCGUGAAGCUUAGUUGACUAUCACCCAUAAUUAUCAAUAUUGUUUGACCAUAAUACAGCACCACGUUACUAAUGCUGAAGCCCAUUAAUAUUAAUGGGUUAAAGAUAUCUUCCUCCUCUUUUUAAAAUUUAAUUUGCUAAAGUUCAUUCUACACACACACUCUCUCUAGCAUUGCUUCAUUAACCUAUAAUUAAUAUUAUAACAUAUAAUAUUAUAAAUUUCAGAAUAGAAUACAAAUCUCAGAAUGAUAAAUAGAACAUUUUAAAUAGAUUAUAGUUUCUUAUAUUAAUAAACAUUAAUGAAUUCAUUGUUUAUAAGCCAUUAAAUGUACAAAUACCAGAGUGGGUGAGUCAGAAGUAUUUUUCUGCAUGUGAAAAAUGCUUUCUGCUCAUGGAAGAGAUCUUGCACGUCACGACAGAGCUCAAGAAAAUUGAAACGAAACUUUUCUUUGGGUGUGUUCUGUGGAAAUAUUUAUGGGUGAAGGCAUUGCUCAGUUAGUGGAGCAUGAGACUCUUAAUUUCAGGUUUGUUGGUUUGAACCUCACAUUGAGCAAAAAGCUUCCUGCAUUGCAGGGGGUGGCUAGAUGACCCUUGUGGUACCUUCUAACUGUAUGAGUCUAUGAUUCUGUCUCAAAAAGUAGAGUUUAAUUGAUUGUGUUUAAAAUUAAUGAAUUGCCUAAGAGCUUUCUUUGGCCUUUGGCACACAUAAAGCAAACAAACUGCUAUAGAGCCUUAGUAUUAUAGCACUGCAUGGAAUUUGUGGAAUUAUGCUAGCAUUUAUUUUCCUUCUCCCUGCAGUCAUUUUGAUCUGGUUCAUAGAUUUUUCAUCAUUCCUAAAACAGUGCUGCACUGGGCCCACUUUCAAAUCUUUAUUGAAACAAGUAGGGUAUG
rnacentral:lncRNA from 1 species